rnacentral:lncRNA from 1 species
GGCACAAGAUAUAAGAAAACUUCUCUUGGAGAAGAUUUACCUUUGCUUCUACCAAUAACCUCAGGAAAAAGGAAAUUGAGAACAUGUUGAAAUCAGCUUCUAGUUUAGGGUUUCUUAUGGACCACACAAGGGGCAAGAAUCCAAAUUUCAAACUCAGGCAAGGGCCACGUCAUUUUCACAAAAUCUCAGGGACGAUUUUUACCCCUAAAAUCCAACAUCAUGACAAGUAUAUUUUCUUGCCUCAUCUUUCUGUACAAUGGGUUUUUACAGGCCUAUUCUUUCACGAAGAUGGAACUGUUUGGUCUCUAAAACCAUCCACUUUGGGUGGGCUUUAGGUUUUGUCUCCUGCCCUCUGUCUGGGGCAGCCAUCAAAUAGAAAUUCCUACAGGCAGACGCCUCUAGGGAUGUUACAAGUAUUAAACAUACCCUACGGCGAGGGGGGCUGGGUGAAAGGGCAGUCACAGAUGUGAGGGAGAAAGAAAAUGCUACAUUUUUAGUCUAACCUUUUAAUAUAAUUAAAUCAGAUAGCCAUUGUUCAUGUUAUGAAGUACAAAAAAUUAAUUUUGGAAACUGAAGGCAUGACAGGAAUAGGGAAAGCUUAAGGGGCCCAAAAAGUAAGAAGGCUUCAUUCAUUCAUUCAUUUUCACUUGACAAUUAUUUAUUGAGCACCUACAAGGUAUCAGAUUAAACUAUUCUCCAGCUUUAGGAGACAUAUUAGGUAUACAAGUGACAAAACCCCUUGCCCACAGGGAAUUGACAUUCAAGUAAGCAUGAAGACAGUGAGCUAUUUUAAGGGUGAAAAAAGACAUGCCACUGAGAAAUUCAGGGGAAGCUCAGGAAAAAAAAAAAAAGAAAAAAGAAAGAAAUAUUAAAUACAAAACUCUCCCAGGGGGCCAUUUUACUUAGGAUCAGAUCUGAUUCUUUAUUUUUGAGAUCUAAUUUAUUUUCUUAGGAUGCUCGCUAAGUACGUUAGUAAUAUUCCCCUAUAGGGGAAACUCAAUUUUCUUGUACCUGGAUGGGGGACAUUCAUUGAUUAAAAAUUAUACUGUAUGGUGACAGAUGGUAGCUACCCUUGUGAACAUACCAGAAGGUAUAAACCUAUGGAAUCACUAUGUCGUGCACCUGAAACUAAUGUAACAUUGUGUAUCAAGUUUAUAAAUUAAUAAAUAAGCUAUAAUAAGCAAGCUACAUAAAUAAAUAAACAAACAAACAAAUAAGCAAGCAAGCAAACAAACCAAGCAAGCAAGCAAGCUAUGGAAAAAUAUUGGAAUAGGAGAGGGAUUUUCAAGGUGACCUGACAAGAUAUUAAAGGCUUUUUCUUCUGUACAUGGGGUACCCCUUUCAAUACUUAGAAUUUUUUUUUUUCUAAAGAGUAUUUCUCUCGACUCUCAGCUCGAUUUUGAAGUGUUUAUUACCAUGCAAGAGAUGUAGAAAGAUAAUCCUCAAGGUAUCUAGUCAGGGAGGAUCUCUCCCCACCCCACUUUGAGGACAUCUGAAAGUGGGUCAGUUAGACCAUCUCUGCUCUAAAUCUCGCAGGAAAAAUAUGAUGCCUUUUUCACUGAGAGAGUUCCUCUCUCCCUGCUCAUCUUACCAUUUUAGGAGUAAGACGUCAAGUGUCAAGUUCAGAGCAUGGACUUGGGGAAAAACUCCAAGGAGUACAAUAAGAUUGUUUUUGGCCUAGGCCUUACAUGAGAAAGAGGAUUCUAGAAGUCCACGCAUAGUCCAAUGCAACUCAUGAGGCCUGGGGAUUUUGAAGCAGAAACUUAUAAUGGCACAAAAAGUUAUUACAUCAAAGUAUCUUGAUACUUUUAUCACUAAAAAAGAGAAUUAUCCUGAAGUGGUAAGUACGUAACAUAUAUUAAUGCUCUGCAAGUGUCCUCAUACUGCUGCAGUUGUGGUGAAGAGCUGGUUUAGGACCCAGCAGUAUAGGUUCCAGGCCAACUCAGCUUCUUGCUACCCUGAAGCUAAAUCUAAUAAGGUCCAACCCUAUUAAACAGAGAAUAUUAUCAUAACCUCUUUACAAGUAAAGAAACCAAGACGAACUCCAAUGAUUUGCCCAAGGCUACAGAGCUAGUAAGGAUUAAACCCAGCUUCUGGUACAGAUUCUCUGCUCAACUGUGCUGACUUAUUAAAAGACCUGGCUAUUUCCCAUUGGUGUUUGCAAUAGUUUUCAUGCAUGGUCUUCAAAAUCACCCAGCAAGGUAUUAGAGCAAGUAUUAUUAUUCCAUUUUACAGAAAAGGAAAAAAAAAAAAAAGCCAAUUCCACUGUCCCCUUAUCUUGAUCUGCUGGAAUGACGUGGAGAGGUGAACCCACUUCUAUUAGUUUUCUGCUGUUGCCAUAACAGAGUAGCACAAACAUAGUGGCUUACAAUAAAAAUU